AUUGAACGCUGGCGGCAUGCCUUACACAUGCAAGUCGAACGGUAGCAGGUCUUCGGAUGCUGACGAGUGGCGAACGGGUGAGUAAUACAUCGGAACGUGCCUAGUAGUGGGGGAUAACUACUCGAAAGAGUGGCUAAUACCGCAUGAGAUCUACGGAUGAAAGCAGGGGAACGCAAGACCUUGUGCUACUAGAGCGGCCGAUGGCAGAUUAGGUAGUUGGUGGGAUAAAAGCUUACCAAGCCGACGAUCUGUAGCUGGUCUGAGAGGACGAUCAGCCACACUGGGACUGAGACACGGCCCAGACUCCUACGGGAGGCAGCAGUGGGGAAUUUUGGACAAUGGGCGAAAGCCUGAUCCAGCAAUGCCGCGUGCAGGAUGAAGGCCUUCGGGUUGUAAACUGCUUUUGUACGGAACGAAAAGCCCCGGGUUAAUACCCUGGGGUCAUGACGGUACCGUAAGAAUAAGCACCGGCUAACUACGUGCCAGCCGCCGCGGUAA
rnacentral:rRNA from 1 species